rnacentral:rRNA from 1 species
UUUAAUUCGAAGCAACGCGAAGAACCUUACCAGGUCUUGACAUCCUCUGACACUCUUAGAGAUAGGACGUUCCCCUUCGGGGGACAGAGUGACAGGUGGUGCAUGGUUGUCGUCAGCUCGUGUCGUGAGAUGUUGGGUUAAGUCCCGCAACGAGCGCAACCCUUGUCUCUAGUUGCUACGAAAGGGCACUCUAGAGAGACUGCCGGUGACAAACCGGAGGAAGGUGGGGAUGACGUCAAAUCAUCAUGCCCCUUAUGACCUGGGCUACACACGUGCUACAAUGGAUGGUACAAAGGGCGGCAAAACCGCGAGGUCGAGCAAAUCCCAUAAAACCAUUCUCAGUUCGGAUUGUAGGCUGCAACUCGCCUACAUGAAGCUGGAAUCGCUAGUAAUCGCGGAUCAGCAUGCCG